UACGUAGGGGGCAAGCGUUGUCCGGAUUUAUUGGGCGUAAAGAGCGCGUAGGCGGCCAGAUAAGUCCGGUGUGAAAGUCACAGGCUCAACCUGUGAAUGCCGCUGGAAACUGUCUGGCUAGAGUCCGGGAGGGGCGAGUGGAAUUCCUGGUGUAGCGGUGAAAUGCGCAGAUAUCAGGAGGAACACCGGUGGCGAAGGCGGGUCUCUGG
rnacentral:rRNA from 1 species